rnacentral:lncRNA from 1 species
UUGAUUGAAUUUUGAUCAUGUACAUUUUGAGUUGAGUUUUGGGGUUCCUACUCAGUGUUGCUGAAUUUUCUUUGUUUUUGAUUUUUAGAGCAACAUCCCUCUAGUACUAAAUCGGAUUCCAAUGGAGAGCGGACCUUCCUCUAUCGCUAGGUAGAGCCGCUUUGAUGAUUCUUGAAGUUAACAUUACUAUGUUUAUUUUUCUAUUUAUGAUUUGAUAAAUAAAUAAAUUAUAAUAAAUAUUUAUGAAUAAUGAAUAAAAUGAUGUUUA